GGCGGCGUGUGGGGAAGGGAACGGUAAUUGUGUGUGUGCAGCUGUGUGCGUGUGUGUGUGUGCAGCUGUGUGUGUGCAGCUGUGUGCGUGUGUGUGUGCAGCUGUGUGCGUGCAGCUCUGUGUGCGGCUGUGAGUGGCUGUGUGCGGCUGUAGGGGUGUCUGUAGCUGCUUGAGGCCGUGUAGGUGCUGUUGCUCAGUGUCAGGUUGAUGCUCCAGAUGUUUCCGGCCUAUUUUGUUCUCCUUUGCCCUUCCCUGAAGUGCCUUCCCAGGGCGGACCCGGAGGCUUUCCCGCUUCUUGUUGUGUAAAAUUCCCCCUCCCACGACCCUCAGGAGAUAGAAGCUCCUCUGGCCCUGCUGUUGCUUCUGUGUAGCAGAACCUAGUCCUGCACAGCCUUAGAGAUGCUCAGUCAUGGAAACAAUCAGGUUGGAAAAGAUCUCUGGGAUCAUCAAGUCCAACCUAUGAGCAAAGACCACCUUGUCAACUAGAUCAUGGCACUGAGUACCACAUCCAGUCUUUCCUUAAACACCUCAGGGAAUGGUGACACCGCCAUCUCCUUGGGCAGUCUGUUCCAAUGUUUAAUUGCCCUUUCUGUGAAGAAAUUCUUCCUAAUGUCCAACCUAAACCUCUCCCUUAAGCCUAAGUCCUCUUGUCCUCUUGCUUGUUACUUGGAGAAGAGGCCAACCCCCCCUUGGGGAUAACCUUCUGUGAGUUGUAGAGUUAUAAGGUCUGAACCUCCUUUUCUCCAGGUUAAACAAGCCCAACUCCCUCAGCCGUUCCUCCCAGGACUUGUGCUCCAGUCCAUUCCAAAACAACAUGGGAUGACAGUUGCUGAAAAGUUAAUACCUAUGAAGUCUAGAGGAGAUUUUUGCUUGUCAAAAGUGAUGGUGGGGAGAAUAAAAUAUAUGUGAAACAACGGAAAGCAAAUACCAUGCAUAAUAAAGCAGUGAAGAGAAACUGAAGGAGGUAUUACAUGCCUUACUGAUCAGAAAACUGUUUCUGAAGUAUACUUCAGAAAUAUAUAUACAAACUACAUAUAUACGUAGUAAAAUCUACAAAGAUUGAAAGUGUGUGGAGAGCAUGGGUUAUGACAUUGAGCGUUUCGUGGGCUACGUUAACGAGGGGCUGUUGUGCUCCAUCUGCCGGGACGUGUUGGAGGAUCCAUUGCAGGCUCCCUGCGAACACGCCUUCUGCACUGCCUGCAUCCAUGGCUGGCUUGUUCAUCACAGUAACUGCCCCGAAGACAGACAAGUGAUUGAUGUGUCUUUGCUACGGCCUCUCUACAGAUACAUGAAAAAUGAUUUGAACCGUCUUCAGCUGCAUUGCAGAAACAGAGAGUACGGCUGUGAAAUGGUUUGUUCUCUGGAGUCUAUAGACAGGCAUGAAAGGGAGUGUGAAUACAGUCAGAUUCCUUGCUCCAAUGCUGGCUGUACAGUGCAGAUCGAGCGGCGUAACUUGGAUGGUCACCUGGCCGUGUGUGAGUACCGGAGCCGGGAGUGCCCCAAUGGCUGUGGUUACACCAUUCUCAGCGCGGAAGACACGCAGCACAACUGUGUAGCAGAGCUAAGAACGGAGCUGGAACUGCUUCGGUCAGAAAUGAUCUGCAGAGUGGAGGAGGCAAAACAUGAGAUGGAGUCAAGGUUAGAUUCACAGAGAAGGCAUAUGGUCCAAAAAGAGAGUAUUCUGCAAAAUGAAAUUGAAGAACUAAAGAGUCAGAUAUCACGAUUGAUGUCAGAUGUACGCUCUCUGAUGGCUGCGGAGAGACAGCACCGUCAGGAGCUGGAGCAGGCAGAGCUGGAAAAACGGGAGUUAAUGGAGCUGCUAAAGGGGCUGCAGAAGGACUGCCGAUUAACUACUACAGAGGGAAGCAAGAAGUCAAUGAAUUUCCGUCCUCUGACACGACUAGAGAGUGUAAAAAGAAAGCCGAGAGAAGUUACAGUUAUCUAAACAGUAGUAAGAUCAAAAAGUAUUUUCUUCUAAUACUGACUUCUGGCAAACCUCUACUUUCUUCGAAUGAUUGGUAAACUUUAUAUAAUUUCUGAUUCACUUGUUUUCUUUUAAAGUCUAAGUUACAACUGUGUUUCCUUUUGGGGCAUAAAAACAAAUGGGAGAUUUUUUUUCUGAGGGAACACUGGGAGUUAAAACCAGUAAUUGGGAAAUGUAUUUUUAGCUAGUGUUUUUAUAAAAAGGGGGAAGGAGACUUAUUAUCUCUUCAAUGCAUUAUUUACUAGAGCCUUUUAGAGUCAAAGAUAUAGACUGUAAUGGACCAGGAAGGAAACAAUCUUGGAGUACCUAUGUUUAAAGCACAAGAAAGCAAAUGUGAUUCAUCAGUAAUGGCAUUUGGGAUGUACUUAAUUUUAGGAAAAGUGAAUAGUAGAAUUAGUAAGUCCGUAAGAGAAAUUAAUAAUUUUUUUUGUUUAUAAUCUGUAGAUCAUAUUUCAAAGUUGGAAGCAAGCACUUUAAUUUGUGAUUCUGCUAUGUAACAGCUUCAGGUGAGGUUGACUGUUGCUUUAGAGCUUCUUUAAUUUCCCAGGCUCAUACACUUAAAAGACUAAUACCAAAGCCCAAGGUAACAGAACAACCUAGAACCUUUUACAUAGAUGUGUGAGUAACUUGGAGUUUGUGGGAGGGAAUCUAUAUUUUAUUUAAAAAUGUGAAGCUUUUAUAUGUGAAAGUAUCAGCUAUUUCUACAGGGUCCUCUGUGCAUAAGACCAGUUCAUUUGGUACUCAGUAUCUUUAAAGCACGUGUAAAUACCUAGAAUAUCCUUCAUUUUCUUUUGGCAGAUUUAAGGCUACUUGAACAUUAAUAUCCACAACAGACAUUUGCUCAAUCACUUAGACUUCAGACAUCUGUAUUAGUGCUCAAGAGCCUGCAGGGUGUGCCAGAGCCUGGCACUGGCAUCAGAGGGUGACAGAGUGUGGUGGGUUGACCUUGGCUGCACACCAAGUGUCCAUCCAGUCGCUCUAUCACUCUCCUUCCCAGCCAGAAAAACAGAGGGAGAAUAAGAUGGAAAACAACUUGUGGUUUGGGAUAAGGCACUUUACUAAAGCAAAAAAGUAAAAGCUUGUGCGCGCAAAAGCAAAGAGAAAAAUUAAAAAGGUUUAUUCUCUACUUCCCACUAGCAGCAAUGUCCAGCCACUUCCCGGGAAACAGGGCUUUGAAAACACAUAGUGGUUUCUUAGCAGGCAGCCAUUGGAAACAAUGAAUUCCCCCCUUCCUGCUCCUUUCCUUAGAUUUUAUAUCUAAGCUGGUGUCAUGUGGUAUGGAAUAUCCCUUUGGAUAGUUUGGGUCAUCUGGCCUACUUGUGUCCCCUUCCAGAAGGAAUGCUACAGUGCUGAUGCUGUGCUCAGCAGUAGCCAAAACACUGGUGUAUUAUCAACACCCUUCUAGCCACCAAUGCAAAGCACAGCACUGUGAGGGCUGUGUGGGGAAAUGAACUCCAGCUCAACCAGAUGAAAUAGAACCUCCACCUCUUAUUCCAUACCAUUUGCGUCAUACUCAAAUGGUAUAGAAUAAUGGACCAGGGCAGUUGGCAGAUCCCCUAGUGUGGAUCAGCCAAGUGGCUUGAGCUAAAUUUGCCUCCCAAUGCUUCCGUGUCCCAUUAACUGAUGCUCUUAACAUAGUCUUCAACAGUCCAUUAUACCUCUCAGUCUUUACAGAUGCUUGUGGGUGAUAAAGGAUGUGAUAGAUCCACUCAAUGCCAUGUUUCUUUGCCCAGGAGCUUAUAAGGUUAUUCUGAGAGUCCCAUAAUGUGAUAUAAUUUUCUCUGGGGUCCUGUGUCACCACAGAAUGUGUCUCUCGAGGUUUACAAUGGUGUUUCGAGCAGUGACCUGGUUUAUAGGAAAUGUUUCCAGACAGCCAGUUGUUGCCUCCACCAUGGUGAGUAUGUAGCUCUUGCCUUGGUAUGUUUGUGGCAGUGUUCCAGUGCAGUCAGUUUGCCAGGCCUCGCUGUACUGGAAGCCCAGCCACCGCCCUCUAUUCUAUUCUAAGGAGAUUUUACUCACGUGGCUCGCUUGAUUUCUGCAUGCUUCACACUUGUGAAUAAUGUGUAAUGGCCUCCAUGGUCGGGUCUAUCCCUCAAUCACAAGCCCAUCUAUACGUCACAUCUCUUCCUCGAUGUCCCUGAUGUUUCUUGGGCCCAUCAUGCUAUAAAUAGCUCACCCUUGCGCUCCCAGUCCAAGUCUACCUGAGCUAUCCAAUGUUGACAGCUUUAUCCACCUACUCAUUUUUCUGAUAUUCUUCAGUGGCACGACCUUUGGGCAUGUGAGCAUCGACAUGACACACCUUCAGAGUCAUGUUUUCCACCUGUGCAGCGAUGUUCUGCCACAAUGCAGCAGCCCAGAUGGGUUUACCCCUGCGUUGCCAGCUGACCUUUUUCCAUUGCUGUAGUCACCCCCAUAGGGCAUUAGCCACCAUCCUAGAGUCAGUAUAGGGGUAUAGCACAGACUACUUUUUUCAUUCAGCAGUCUUUAGGGCUAGUUGAAUGGCUUUCACUUCUGCAAACUGGCUUGAUUCUUCCUCUCCUCCAGUAGCUUCAACAACCUUACGUGUGGGACUCCACACAGCAGAUUUCUACCUCGGAUGGUUUCCUACCACAUGGCAAGAUCCAUCAGCAAAUAUAGCCUCUUUCAUUUUCUGGUAACUCAUUAUAUGGUGGUGCUUCUUGGGCACGAGUCACCUUUUCAGGCAAUGCUCCAAAACCUCUGCCUUCUGACCAGUCCAUAAUCUCUUCCAGGAUUCCCAGGAAAUUGGGUUUUCCCAUUCAGGCUUGCUGUGUGAUCAAAGCUGCCCACUUGCUCCCUGUAGCACUGGUUGCAUGAUGUGUUGAGGGAAUGUUCCCUUUGAACAUCCAGUGCAACCGCAUUGCCAAGAGGAGACAUGCUUCUGUUCCAGCAACUUCUGAGGCGGCUUGAACGCCCUCAUAGGCUGCUAAUAUCUCCUUUUCAGUUGGCAUGUAGUGGGUUUCUGAUCCUCAAUAACCCCACCUCUAAAACCCCAAUGGUCAACCGUGGGUUUCUCAUGGUGUUCUCUGCCAGAGGCUCCAGGUGAGACCAUGUUUCCCAGGUGCUGUGUAGAGGAUAUUUUGCACAGCUGGUCCUGUACGAACAGGCCCCAGAGUUACUGCACGAGUAUCUCCUGUUUGAUCUGCUCAAAGGCCUGUUGUUGCUCAAGACCCCACUCAAAAGGGUCAAUAGAGGGGGCUCACAAGCUGACUGUAACCUGGAAUGUGCAUCCUCUAGAAACCCACAAGGCCUAGGAAAGCUUGUGUUUCUGUCUUGUUAGCCGGUGGAGACAUAGGUGCUAUUUUGUUCACCGCAUACAUGAGUGACAGACACGGACCCAGCAGAUGGAGGGCAAGCUGGUAAAUCAUUUAUUAACGGUCAAGCCCAGGUUUUCAUACCCCUCAAUUACAUAAGAGGUUAUGUCACCAUAGAACACGUGCUAUUCCCAACCGAUCAUUCUUGAACCUGUCUAGUGGGCGUGCACAGUCAAGCACUCUCUUUGGGCACCUGUUGCAGAGACUACAUUUCCCAUCCUUCCUUCUGACAAUCUUCCUGUAAAGGGUUAACCUUUCCCCACGUAUCCCCCUUCUUUAUUAUAAUAACAAGUUACAGAACAGUAACACUCUUAAACUUUUCUUAACAUAAAACCACCUUAUCUUAACUAGCUAUACAAAUCAGGGCCUGUGGCAGUGAAUAAAAACAUGACCCUCCUGGGAUGGUGAAAAUGGAGAGACUACUUUAUUAAAACCGAACAAGUUCCUAUAUUCAAAAAAGGCGUGGUUACAAAAUGUGGGGGGAGUGAACACAAUCCUGUCCAAUCACUUCAAGGCUUCUUCCUGGGGCACCCAUAAUUGGUCAUCCUUUUGCAAGCUUCCAUUGGGACUUAACUCCCAGUGUACACCACAACAAUUACGUAAUAGAUAUCCUGUAUUAACUUGCUCGUAAUCCCACACAUCCCUCGCUUUUAUGAAUUAAACCUAAAAGGCCUUUAUUAGAAUGAACUACGCUACAUGCUAAGUAAUUUCACUAACCGUGUAACUUUCAUUAAUCCAGGGUUUUUAACAGGUGGGUCGUGUAGGACUUUUAUCUGAGGGUAUGUAUGUAACUGGGUGAAAAACAUCAGCUUUAUUUUAAGGGGAAAUGUGUUAGGGUAUGAGUAUUGUGCUUAACUGUCAUCUGGGGACACUGGAGUGGUUGAGGUAUAUUGUUGUAUAAUUGUACUUUUAUUUGAGGCAGUUAUUGAUAUGAAGCGCUCUUGAAUUCACACACACAUCUUUCCACUCAAGCAGGUGGCUGCCACACCCACACUUCAUGCACACAUUUAAAAUCCUUAUUCUGUAUUUGCAUUUCAACUGUAAGUAUAAAUUAUCAGCAGUCAUUGACUUGUGUGUUCCUUCUACUUCAAUUUCAUCACUUGUCAUUUCUAGUGAUUGUUCUUGUUCUGAAGAGGAAUUAACAAAAGACCUGACACACCUGGAGGGGAUCCAUCUUAACUGAGUAUCUGUGGAUAUGCAUGCAUAUCCUCUCCCCCCAGGUCACGAGGUCCACCGGUCCUGAUAUUAAGUCUUUUGUCAUGACCAGUGGUUUGGGAGAGGAUAGCACCUUGGACUCACAUUGACACUCGUAUCCACUGUAACCUGUGUCAUCACAGUUUAAAAAGUUCAGGACAUAUAAUGCUUUCUACAAGCAUUCCUGUGGACUAUGGAUGGAUUCCCCCUUUUUUUUGUUUUUGUAGCAUUCCUUUUAAUGUGUGGUGUGCUCUCGCUACAAUAGCUUGUCCUGUGGGUGAGUAUGGGAUGCCUGUAAUGUGAGAUAGACCCCAAUCUGUGAGAAAUGUUUUAACUUUCGACAAGCAGUAAGCAGGACCGUUACUGUUUUUUAUAGUUUUUGGGACUCCCAAAACUGUGAAACAGUUAAACCAAUGUCUAAUGACAGGAAUUAACCCAUGACAGAUGGUGGGACUGUGUUUCCACCCCUGGGGCAGUCAAUUCCAGGUAUAUUGCACGCCCCUCCACAUGAAAGCAAACUGCGGCCUGCACUCUUCUGCCAAGGGAAUGGAGAAAAAUGCAUUUGCUAUAUCAAUGGUAGCAUACCACUUCGCUGUCUUGGACUCCAGCUCGUACUGGAGCUCCAGCAUAUCUGGUAUAGCAGCACUCAAUGGCGGUGUGACUUCAUUCAAACCACGAUAGUCUACCGUCAGUCUCCAUUUACCAUCGGAUUUGCAUACAGGCCAAAUGGGGCUGUUGAAGGGUGAGUGAGUCUUACUGACCACCCCUUGACUCUCCAACUUCUCUAUCAUCUUAUGAAUAGGGAUCACAGCAUCUCGAUUGGUCUGGUAUUGUCACCUAUGCACUGUUGAAGUGUCUAUCGGUACUUGUUGAUUAUUGACUCGCAGGAGUCCUACAACAGAAGGAUCUUCUGAGAGACCAGGCAGGGCAGACAAUUGCUUGGAUUUCUCCUCAGUCACCGUGGCUACACCGAAAGCCCAUCGGUACCCCUUCGGGUCCUUGAAGUAUCUUCUUCUCAGGUAAUCAAUACCAAGGAUACAGGGGGCUUCUGGCCCUGUCACAAUGGGAUGCUUUUCCCAUUGGUCUCCAGUCAAGCUUACUUCGGCCUCUACCACUGACAACUCUUGCGACCCUCCUGUCACUCCAGAAAUAGAC